rnacentral:lncRNA from 1 species
GGGGGCAGUAUUUGCACGGCCGGAUAAAAAACGUUCCCGAUUUAAUCUGGUUACUACUCCUGCCCAGUAACUAGAAUAUGCAUAUAAUUGUUUGAUUUGGAUAGAAAACACCCUAAAGUUUCUAAAACUGUUUGAAUGGUGUCUGUGAGUAUAACAGAACUCAUUUGGCAGGCCAAAACCUGAGAAGAUUCCAAACAGGAAGCGCUCUCUCUGGCCAUUUCAUGGCCUUCUUGACCAUCUCUAACCAAAACAGGGGAUCUCUGGCAUGACGUGACAUUUUCUAACGCUCCCAUAGGCUCUCAGAAGGCGCCAGAAAGCUGAAUGGUGGCUUUGCAGGCCCUGGCUGAAAAACAUUAGCGCAUUUUGUAAGUGGUCGAUCUGAGAACAAUGAGACUGGAGGCGCGUGCCCGAGCCGACACCAUGUUUACUUUCUCUCUUUUUGAACGAAAACAACCACUCCCGGUCGGAAUAUUAUCGCUUUUUUUACGAGAAAAAUAGCAUAAAAAUUGAUUUUAAACAGCGGUUGACAUGCUUCGAAGUACGGUAAUGGAAUAUUUUGAAUUUUUUUGUCACGAAACGCGUCGGGCGUCACCCAUCGGAUAGUGUCUUGAAUGCACGAACAAAACGCCGCUAUUUGGAUAUAACUAUGGAUUAUUUGGAACCAAACCAACAUUUGUUAUUGAAGUAGAAGUCCUGGGAGUGCAUUCUGACGAAGACAGCAAAGGUUUUUGGAUAAGCCAUGCAGCAUUGUGACCUUGCAGCCCAGAUGUGAUCCCCGACCUGACCUCUGAAGACAAUGUGCAUAGUGUCCUCUUUCAUAACUUGGUCAAUAUGUGGUCAAAUUCAUCUUAAACUGGUCACUCAGUCAUCAGCUAACAGAAGGUCAGGUCAUUGUGGCCUACAUUUGGCAUAUUUCAGGAACAAGCACUAGAAACUUCCCUUAACUCUAUGGACUUCACUUAGGAAAACAGUCGAUACUGCAGAGGAGUGUUCAAGUCAGCAAUCCAGCAAGAACCAAAUGUUCUCCGUUCGAUUGAAUGGAUUAUAAUGUGUUGUAGUAAAACACCAGUGGACUUCGGAAGUUACUGUACAGCAGGCCUAUACUAUCUACAGAUUUGUAUAUGGGGACGAGGGCUGACAGUAUCUGUGUAAAAAUGUAAGGAGCUAUUUGUUCCCUUUCGAGAUAAAGGAUGGAUGAUGGUGAAAGGGGUGAUGAGGAGUUGAUCAGAGGCUUUGAUUCUGCGUGUAGUCCUUAACAUUUCGCAGCUAAAAAGAAAUGUGGAAGUAGUGUUGACAGAGAGGCAUGGGGCAGAUGAUGUCUCGCUCUCUUUCUCUUCUCUUUCUCCUAGUCCCUCCGGUCUCUAGCAAAGACCCCCUUUGCCUUCAACCUUCAGUUAACCAUUAAUUUUGCUACAUUGUAUGCAUGUCAGGAAUCCAUAGCAUUUCCUUUUUUAAUCUGUCCUUUUUCAUCUUAGAGAUCACUUUAUUAUGGACAAGUACAUAUGCAGCAGCACGUACAGAUCAGCGUUUGUCUUUACAAGUAAAUGCACACACAUGAACAACCAAAAGUAUGUAUAUAAGAAUAUAAGAAUGUUCUUAUAUUUGGAACAAUGUCAAGUAUAUGACCUGGCUCAGCAAGAGGUUAGUCUGUAGGUCUUUCAACUCAGAGAGCGAGAGAGAUUGAAAAAGCUUCUUCCACUUUCCCCAACUCACGAGUGGGUAGGGUUAGGGUCGGUUCACACUUACUAGUCUGAGGCCAAACCACACGACUAACAACAUUGGACACUUUAUGGAACACAAAACAUUCCCCAUCUCAUCCUGGAAUAUCCAAGGCCUGAGGUAAACUGCAUUUGACCUAAAGAGCAGGAACCUACCUGGAGGUACACCUACAAACAAACACCUACCUGGAGGUAGCAUUCCCUCCCGCAUAUGCCCCCCUAGACACAACUACAUAACCAACAAAAACUGUUCACAACUCCUGCAGCUCUUUCUCUCACUGGGUAUGUAGAUAGUCAAUAGUAGGCAUCGAGGGGACUCAAUGUUAGGCUUCGGUAGGUACACUUAUAGCUCAUCUCUUUGCAGUAGGACAGCAGACUACUUUAUCACCAACCUCAACCCAGAGUCUCUCAGAGCAUUCACAGUCAGCCCACUGACACCCCAAUCAGAUCACAGAAAAUUCACAAUCUACUUGAGCGGAGCAAUAAUCAACCAUGAGGCAUCUAAGCCGAACAAACUGCACACUAUUAAGAAAUGCUAUCGAUGGAAGGAGGGUAGUGUAGAAACCUACCAAAAAACUAUUGGCCAACAACAAAUCCCUCCUAGACAACUUCCCCGACAAAAUGUUUUCCUGCAAAAGUGAAACUUCCUACUUAGCAGUAGGAAGCCUGAACAAUACAUUUCACCUAUCAGCUAACAUAUCAACCUAGGACAACUAACAACAAUGAGAAAUGGUUUGAUGAAGAAUGCAAAAACCUAAGAAAGAAAUUGAGAAUCCUAUCCAACCAAAAAUACAGAGAACUAGAAAACCUUAGCUUACGCCUUCACUAGGUUGAAACACUAAUACAAUAAAGAAACACACUAAGAAAAAAGAAGGAGCAGCGUGACAGAAAACUCAUUGUGAUUGAAGAAUCCAUAGAAUCAAAUCCCUUCUGGGAUAAUUGGAACAUACUAAACAAACAACAACAUGAAGAGCUAUCUAUCCAAAAUGGAGAUGGAUGGAUAAACCACUUCUCCAACCUUUUCGGCCAUAUAACAAAGAACCAAGGGCAAAAACAUAUAGAUGAUAAUUUACAAAAUUUAGAAUCAGCUAUUAAAGACUACCAGAACCCACUGGAUUCUGAAAUUACGUUGGAUGAGCUACAGGAUAAAAUACAAACCCUGCAACCCAAAAAGGCCUCUGGUGUUGAUGGUGUACUAAACAAAAUGUUAAAAUAUACAGACCACAAAUUCAAAUUGGCUAUUCUUAAACUCUUCAACAUUAUCCUCAGCUCUGGUAUCUUCCCUAAUAUUUGGAACUAAGGUCUAAUCACCCCAAUCCACAAAAGUACCCCAAUAAUUACAGUGGAAUUUGCGUCAGCAGCAAUCUCUGAAAAAUACUGCAGUAUCAUCAACAGCAGACGCCAACAUUUCCUCAGUGAAAACAAUGUCCUGAGCAAAUGUCAAAUUGGCUUCUUACCAAAAUACAGUACGACAGACCACGCAUACACCCUGCACACUCUUAUUGACAAACAAACAAAACAAACAAAAGCAAAGUCUUCUCAUGAUUUGUCGAUUUAAAAAAAGCUUUUGACUCAAUUUGGCACAAAUUGAUGUAAAGUGGUGUUGGGGGAAGAUAUAACGUUAUAAAAUCAAUGUACACAAACAACAAGUGUGCAGUUAAAAUUGGCAAUAAACGGGGAUGCAGCUUGAGCUCCACCCUCUUCAACAUACACUAUAUAUACAAAAGUAUGUGGACAAAUUAGUGGAUUCGGCUAGUUCAGCCACACCCGUUGCUGACAGUAGUAUAAAAUCGAGCACACAGCCAUGCAAACUCCAUAGACAAACCAAGAGCUCAGUGACUUUCACCGUCAUAGGAUGCCACCUUUCCAACAAGUUUCAAACUCCCUCUGGAAGCAACGUCAGCACAAGAAUUAUUCGUCAGGAGCUUCGUGAAAUGGGUUUCCAUGGCUGAGCAGCCGCACACAAGCCUAAGAUCACCAUGCGCAAUGCCAAGCGUCAGCUGAAGUGGCAUAAAGCUCCCUGCCAUUGGACUCUAGAGCAGUGGAAACGCGUUCUCUGGAGUGAUGAAUCACACUUCACCAUCUGGUGGUCCAACAGACGAAUAUGGGUUUGGCAGAUGCUAGGAGAACGCUACCUGCCUGAAUGCAUAGUGCCAAUUGUAAAGUUUGGUGGAGGAGGAAUAAUGGUCUGGGGCAUCAGUGUCCGACCUCACUAAUGCUCUUGUGGCUGAAUGGAAGCAAGUCCCCGCUGCAAUGUUCCAACAUCUAACGGAAAGCCUUCCCAGAAGAGUGGAGGCUAUUGUAGCAACAAAGGGGGGACCAACUCCAUAUUAAUCCCUAUGAUGUUGGAAUGAGAUGUUCCACGAACAUGUGUCCACAUACUUUUGGUCAUGUAGUGUAUAUAUCAAUGAACUGGCGAGGGCACUAGAACAGUCUGCAGCACCCGGCCUCACCCUAUUGGACUCAGAAAUCAAUUUCUACUGUUUGCAGAUGAUCUGGUGCUUCUGUCCCCAACCAGGGAGGGCCUACAGCAGCACCUAGAUCUUCUGCACAGAUUCUGUCAGACUUGGGCCCUGACAGUGAAUCUCAGUAAGACAAAAAUAAUAGUGUUCCAAAAAAGGUCCAGUAGCCAAGAAAACAAAUACAAAUUAUAUCUAGACACUGUUUUCCUAGAGCACACAAAGAAUUAUACCUACCUCGUCCUAAACAUCAACACCACAGGUAACUCGGGCUGUGAACGAUCAAAGAGACAAGGCAAGAAGGACCUUCUAAAACUCAACAUCCCAAUUAGGAUUUGGCUAAAAAUACUUAAAUCAGUUAUCGAACCAAUUGCCCACUAUGGUUGUGAGGUCUGGGAUCCACUCACCAACCAAGAAUUCACAACAUGGGAUAAACACCCAAUCGAGACUCAGCAAGUAGAAUUCUGCAAAAAUAUGCUUUGUGUACAAUGCAAAACCCAAACAAUGCAGAGCAGAAUUAUGACUAUAUCUGCUAGUUAUCAACAUGAAAAGACCUGUUAAAUUCUACAGCCACCUAAAAGGAUGUGAUGCCCACACAUUCCACCACAUAGCCCUCACCUACAGAAAGAUGAACCUAGAGAAGUGUCCCCUCAGCCUGCUGGUUCUGGGGAUCUGUUCACAAGCACAAACAGACCCCACACAGCCCCAGGACAGAAACACAUUAAGACCCAACCAACUGAUGAUAAAGCAAAAAGAUAACUAUUUGACACAUUGGAAAGAAUCAACCCAAAAGAACAGAGCACAUUGGAAUGCUAUCUGGCCCUCAACAGAGAGUACACAUUAGCAGAAUACCUGACCACUGUGACAGACCCCAAAUCCUUGACUAUGUGGAGAUUCUGAGCAUAGCCUUGCGAUUGAGAGGCAGACCUGGCUCUCGAGAAAAGACAGGCUAUGUGCCCACUGCCCAGAAAAUGAGGUGGAAACUGAGCUACACUUCCUAACUUGCUGCGAAAUAUAUGACCACAUUAGAGAAACAUAUUUCCUACAGAUCACACAGACCCAAAAAGAAUUUCAAAAAAAAAACUCCCAUAUCUGCUAGGCAAAAUACCAUAGUGAGCAAUCACAGUAGCAAGAUGUGUGGGCCUUUGCCAUGGGAAAAGGGAAACCAGUGGAGCACAAACAACAUUGUAAAUACAACUUAUUGAGAGUACCCUGUCGGGCUGUAUCACCGCAUGGUAGAGGCAACUGCACCAGGCAGUGCAGUUGCAUCAAAGCUGGGACCAAGAGCUGGGACCGAGAGACUGAAAAACAGCUUCUAUUUCAAGGCCAUCAGACUGUUAAAUAGCCAUCACUAACACAGAGAGGCUGCUGCCAUAUAUACAUAGACUUGAAAUCACUGGCCACUUUAAUGAAUGUAACACUAGUCACUAUAAUGUUUACAUAUCUUGCAUUCCUCAUCUCAUAUCUAUAUACUGUAUUCUAUCCUAUUCUAAUGUAUCUUAGUCCAUGUCGCUCUGACAUUGCUCGUCCAUAUAUUUAUAUAUUCUUAAUUCCAUUCCUUUACUUAGAUUUGUGUGUAUUAGGUAUAUGUUGUGAAAUUGAUAGAUAUUACUUGUUAGAUAUUACUGCACUGGUAGAGCUAGAAACACAAGCAUUUCGCUACACCUGCAAUAACAUCUGCUAAACACGUGUAUGUGACCAAUAAAAUGUGAUUUGAUUUAUAUUUAUCUGUUUAUAUAUUUUCCCUUUCAUACUUAUUUCAUUGUCUAUUCCAUUUGCUUUGGCCAGUGGCGAUUUUAGCAUGUAAAUCUUGGUGGGGCAAAAAAAAUUAAAAAGUGGGAUUGUCACGU